AUUGAACGCUGGCGGCAUGCUUUACACAUGCAAGUCGAACGGUAACAGGCCGCAAGGUGCUGACGAGUGGCGGGCGGGUGAGUAAUGCAUCGGAACGUGCCCAGUCGUGGGGGAUAACGCAGCGAAAGCUGCGCUAAUACCGCAUACGAUCUAUGGAUGAAAGCGGGGGACCGUAAGGCCUCGCGCGAUUGGAGCGGCCGCUGUCAGAUUAGGUAGUUGGUGAGGGAAAGGCCCACCAAGCCAGAGAUCUGUAGCUGGUCUGAGAGGACGACCAGCCCCACUGGGGCUGAGACACGGCCCAGACGCCUACGGGAGGCAGCAGUGGGGAAUUUUGGACAAUGGGCGCAAGCCGGAUCCAGCAAUGCCGCGUGCAGGAAGAAGGCCUUCGGGUUGUAAACUGCUUUUGUACGGAACGAAACGGUCCGGGUUAAUACCCUGGGCUAAUGACGGUACCGUAAGAAUAAGCACCGGCUAACUACGUGCCAGCCGCCGCCGUAA
rnacentral:rRNA from 1 species